rnacentral:tRNA from 1 species
GGCGGUGUAGCUCAAUUGGAACAGAGUGCCUGUCUUCUAAACAGGAGGUUCCGGGUUCGAGUCCCGGCACCGCCA